CCGAGCUCCGAGCGCCGAGCGGCGGCCGGGAGCGGCCGCGCCUCUGGCCCUCCGUGCUCCCCUUCCUGUCCAAGGGUCUCUGCGGGUCUCAGCCGAACCCCUACCAACAGUGGCAGUCUCUGCCACGGGCAGCCUCCAAAAUCUUUCCAGAGAAGGGAAGCAGAGAGGCAGAGGUGUGUCCUUCAUCUCCCCUGACAUCAGUGUGGCAGUCUUACACACACCCCAAGUGUACUCUGGUCUCCCACUGAUGGAACUUCUGCUCAUUGUGGUCAGUGUCAUCUGUAAAAGCACGGCCUCUUGCUUGAGGGAGCAUAGGGGAUUUAGCAACAUCCAAAUCCUGCAAGCAGAGAAGAUGACUUUUAGGCAAGCAUUUUCCUGUACUGACUUCUGGUGUACAGUAAGUCCAUAAGGCAUAAGGGGUCUGGAGACUGAAAAGGAUCCUACACUCAGUCAUGACCCCAGCUGUUACUGGUGCUCAGAUCCUGCUCACCAUUUGGUCACCACUGCAGAAGAAGCUGCCACUCUUUCUGUGGCACAGAAUUUCAGUUCACUUACGUUAAUGCAUGUUCCCACCCCUUGGUAAUCAGCAGAAAGGUCAUAUUUUUAAUUCACUAAUCUGGGAAUUUACACACAGUGUUAACGCAGUUAACUAAGAUAAGCUGGCCAGGAGAAGUUUGUGGGGAGAGGUUCAGAGGAGUGUGGCUGCAGGCUGGUGCUGCCCACAAUGAUGAGGAUGGGGCAGCAGCAGGGCUGAGCUGUUGUGGUCCCUGCUCUCUGCUGUGGUGCAGCCAUACAGCUGCAUAUCCAGUCCUGCAAGCUGUGUUAAUGCUCCUGUCAGAGGUUUAGCUAUUAUUUAACCAUGUUCUUAGCUAUUUCCUCAGUUUUAAUCCUACCAGGCAGAUUGGCUAGGGCUGAGGACUGCUCAGAAACCUUCCCCAAAUUCCUCUUUUGGGGCUCAGUGCCAUUCCCCAGCCAUUUGGUGGCCAUCCCCACUGUUCAGCCCCAGAACUUUGUUGAUGGCUCAUGAAAGGAGGCUCCAAAAAUUCACAAAGGCAACUUAAAAGCCAUAAGAUUAUAGCAAGUUAUAAACAAUAGGAUUUUUAAUAAAUUUUUGAGGUUUUAGCCUUUGCCUUGAAGCUACAAGGACCAAAUAUUUAUUUUAUCUUAAAUAUAUACUAUGGUUCCCACAUAAUCAUACACAGGCACAGGCCAGGCACCAGAAAGCAGAUGUGGGAAAAACCAGAAACCGAGGGCAGUGCGAUUAACAUCAGCCAACAGGGUCAAUUUCCUGCACCGAUUAUCAUGUUGAUGAGACUGUAGUAGGUAACAUAGACAGAGAUACAGAUUGCACAUGCAGAUGAGAGGGAUUGACUGGAAUCAUGGGUCUGUCUGGGCAAUAUGUGCUUUAGUCAUGGAGUCAUAGAAUUCUUUAAGUUGGAAAAGACCUUUAAGAUCAUCAAGGCCGAUCUUUAACCCAGCCCUGUGAAGUCCACCACUAAAUCACGUCCCAUAUCCCCACAUCUACAUGUCUUUUAAAUACCUCCGGGGAUGGUGACUCAUCCACUUCCCUGGGCAGUCUGUUGAGUGCUUGAUAAUCUGACAAAAGGCAGAAUUGCUGUGGGAAAGCUGAAGAACACACAAGGAAAGGCACACCACUGGAACAGAUUCAGCGAAACAGUGGAUAAUAACUAAGCAUCAGCUCCCAGGAUGAUGUUAUUCCUAGCUCUAUGAAACUAUGACUCCAGGAACUUUAGAAUAAACAUUCACCAUUAUAAGAUUCAUGAGAGUUGGCAACAUUUUCAGCCCCUAUCCCCUCUGGUGUGCCUCUGGUGUCAGGGUCUCCAGUGUGUGUGUGAGGGAAUGUGUCUGUGAUUUCUGCAGAAGGGCUGGUGUGCUCCGCGGGUUUCCCAGGGACUUGUGGCUCCUUCCUUGGGUCUGCUUGCUUGGAGGGGAAGAGCAUAAGGAUGAACUUCUCUGUAACAUUCUGAUCACCUCAGGUCCUUGACUUUCCUGCUAAGGGAAGUGCACUCUAGGAUGUGACAGUUGUUGUCUUGCAUGAGUGCAAUGACAGAGAACACCGCAGGACUCACAGUUCCAUCAUAACCUUUUCUGAGCCCAGCCAGUGGGGUUGCCCUCUUCUCAAGGGCUGAGGACAGUGGUGAAGAGUCUGUUCACAUACCCAAAAAAUGCAUGAUUUUGCUGGAACCAUGAAGCACAACUAAAGGUCUCAUUAGCAUGCAGCACUUGAUAGAAAUCUAGAGAUUAUAAGAAGGUGCAAGUCACAGCAGACUUUUUAGGGUUUGAGCAGUGUGGGGGAGAGAGAUGGGUAAAACACACCUCUGAGCUGGCAGUUUGAGGAAGCUAACCAAAUCUGCAGCUGACACUGCUGCGGCUUGCACUCUGCUGCUUCAUUCUGAGGCUUUGGCAUUGUCUCCCACUUGAAAAUAUUUAUGCACCAACACUUCGUAUUACACCUCAGUCGAAUGGAAGGGUUGCAUGUCUUGCUCCUGUCCCUUGGGUGGAACACUACAGGUGUUAAAUGCUUUCCUUCCCAUUCCUUGCAGAGAGGUGUAUGCUGCCUUCAUUUGAUAAGAUUUUGAGAUGAUUUUUAUCUCUUCUGAGCUCUGGCAGAGGAAACUUGCUGACAGUGUUUGUUUCUUUGGGGCAAAAAUAUCAGCAAUAUUACAGAACUCAUAAAAUCUUGACUGUGCUGCUUCAUUUUUCCUAUUACACUCAGGGCUAAUAUAGUGUGCAAUUUGUCUUUUAAAAGUCCAUGGCUAUUUCUAAAGUAGGAAAACUGUGUAAGCAUGUACAGAGAAGACAAACUGUAGUAGAGCUUUAGUGGUGCCAGCCAGGGGCAAGUAUUGAAGUUCAUCUUGGUGGCAAAGAGUGUAGCAAGCCAAAAUGGUGUUUUCUGGGAGAGGGGUCACAAGGCAACUGCAUGAAUUAAGUGAAUAAAGUGAAUAAAGGAAACAUAGAAACACCAUUAACAGACACUGAAAAAACCAUACAAGGGCUCAGAUAUAUGAUUCACAUCCCCACUUUCAUGUUUGCUGCUUUCAGUUACCUGUUUUCCAAGGUCUCUAUCUGCUACAGGGGAGGUCUAGGCAGUUAUCACAGAUCAAACAUCUAAAUUCCAAAUGGCUCAUUUCAUCUCAGGGAAGGGCAGUGGCACUUGGGAGCAAAUUUCAAAGCUGCUCAGCCAGUUGUUCAGCCUCUUCCACAUGAAAGAGCUUUCCUUUAUGGGACUUGGUUACUUGAAAUCACUCUCAGUCAGGCUGCAAUACUGUGAUGUGUAAUUGUUGCUGACCUCUGAAAAAUCCUCAGUUUACAGCAGUACAGGGUGCUGUGAACCCACUUGUGUUGCCUCAUAGCUCAGCCUCUAUCAGAUAGGGAAUAUAAACGUCAGACAAAGCAUGGCUCCUACAUUUCUUUACUGAGGAACAGAGCAGGAAUUAAAGCUCUUUUUUACCUGGAACAGUUUUACCAUAAUGCAUUAUUUAUUUGUAAUAAUUAUAGGUAAACUAGACACACAAACACGUGCACAUACACAUAUAUGCUAUAUGGUAUAUAAUAUGCAAUACAUCCUUAUAAUAUGUACAUAUAAAUCAUAUCCACCCAUUUUGGCCUCUUCUCUCAGGCAACAAGUGACAGGAUAAGAGGAAGUACUGUGCCAGGGGAGGUUUGAAUUGGACAGAAUCAGGAAGAUUUUUUUCACUAAAAGAGUGGUGAGGCAUUGGAAUGGUCUGUCUGGAGAAGUUCUGGAGUCACCAUCCCUGCAAGUGCUCAAGAAACAACAGGACAUAGGGUGCUUAGUGCUGUGGCCAGCAGAAGUUGACAAGGUGGUUUAUCAGUCAAAGGUUGAACUCAAUGAUCUUGGAGGUCUUUUCUAAACUUAAUAUUUCUGUGAUUCUAUGAUUUGUAUAUAUUACACAUGAGAAGGCUUGAAUUUUUAAGUUCAUUUUGAAUUCUGCUUACCCUCCUGUUAGUAGGCAUCAUGACUUAUUGACGGAAAUUGGAAACAAGAAUAUGUGAAAGGUAUUAAUAUGUUAAAUGACUAACUAAAUAUCAGUGUUAUAACUAACUAACACAUUGAUUUUUUUGUCAUCUGGAGACCCAAGACAUCAGAGAUUCACUGUGGCUGCAAAAGCAUCUUGGUAGGGUCCUGAGCAAUGUUUGCAGCAGAGAGGUAUGCUUAACAAAAUAUAAAAUGAGGAUAAGCAUAGGGAGAAAUCUGUGGAAAGUUUGUAGUUUGUAGUUUGUCACAAAUAAAGAACAUGGCAGGACUUGAUGCAUAUGGCAAAGAGCUAUUAGCAGAGAUAAAUUCCACCUGUGUAGUGUCACUUCUGGGCAAAGUAGGAAUCUGAAGUUGCUCUCUUGAGUCACAUGGCUCAAGGGCAUAACAAGUCAAGAGACAGGAACUUCUUGAUCCUGAAACAUAAGAGAGCAUCUUGCAGUGUUAAGGAUGCAUCCAGGGAGAGAUCACUUGAUAUAAUUCGACACAAGAAAUAACACAGAAACAGAAACCAUAUUUGCAAAAAACUUGUGGUGUUGCCAUUCAUAAGGAGCAUUAAUCACAGAUAUAGUCUGCUGAUGAGUCAAAACUAAAUACCAAUCAGUUAAAGCCCUAGUCAAACAAGACCAGAGAAACAUAGUUGUCGGUACUGCUGGAGGCAGACCAGCUUCUCAAACAUGAGGGCUGUCCCCAGGGAGGGCAGACCACAGGGCAGCCAUGCUGGCUGCUGAGUUGCAGAGAAGCAAGAAGUCUCUUCCUGCCCCCUAUUGCCUUUCUCAAGGAGCUUUGUCCCUCAGUGGACACUGAUCAUGUCAAAGACGCUCACUGCCAAGUGGUAAAGCUUUAUUGGCAAAACAUUCUUGACAGUGUCCAGAAGAAAACCCAGAGAACAAAGCAGAAGUGCACAGAAUAAAGGGAUGCACAUUCCUGGUGGGAGUUUGAAAAGUUAUCUGUGGUAGAAGAGGAAUACACUGCAGAAGUUGCUUGAGUUUAAAUUUGCGCCCUAAAUUAUAAGCUGGGUGAAAAUAUUUCACAGAUGCAGCUGCAGUUAAGGGGAGAACGGAAGUCAGAAUUUCUUGGAGUUGUAACCUGCAGUGCAGCCCAAGCCCCUGCAGUGUGCAGAGGCAGUGAUGUUAGGCACACUCCAGUGCAGCUGGGCCCAGCUCAGAGGCACAGCACACUUUAUGCCUUACACAGCCCUGCGCUGCAGUCAGGUGAAAGUGCUGACGUGUUGGGGUGGGCUCAGCACCCACACUUAGAGGGAUUUGCUCUGAGGUCUGCCUCCAGGCUCCGCCAAGAUGUGACUGCACUUUUGCACUGUUUUACACAGCUGAAUGCUGCCCGGUGGCAUUUGCUAUUAGUCAUGAAGAAUAUAUUUUCUGGAAUUAAAAAAUCAUAUUAUUUGGAGCAUGAUCACAUAGAAUUAAUUUCUCCAGACAUAAUGACAGACAUAACCUGGAUAACCUGGAACACAGUGUUCUGUUUAUUAUAGUGGGGCUAUAUAUGUAUUCAGAGGUUGUUUCAUUCUCAUUCUAAAUGAGUACAGAGGCUGACCAGAGAAAUAACUGUCCUCUCAAGCCAAAGUCAGGCCUCUGACAGUCAGUAUAUUUUAGAUUUUAAGUGAUCCACUGUAAAUCUUCCAAGCAUGAACAGAAGCUGAGAAAUCACAUAAAAAUAAUGAAAUAAUAAUUCACAUUAUGUAUUUCCUUCAGAGAAAGAAGAUCUUAUAAAAUGAUGCUUAUAAUUGAAUUAUAUUGGGUUUUGGCUUAACACAUGCCCCUUAAUGGGCGGAUGCAACUACCAUAAUGCCAUCUUCUGUUCAUUUAUUUUUCAGAAUAAAGUGAUAACAAAGAACAGCACAGAUGGUCCAAUGCCAUCUGAUGCAUUUAAUCCUAGGCAUAAAUCCAGGAGGCCUUUUAGGAAACAAUGGACAAGCUUUGUUCACAUUACAGGUCUUUGAGAAUGCACAAAUAUCUAGUUGAGUGAUAUACUUUAAAGUUUAUAGUAAUAGAAAAAUUGAUUUAAAAGGAAAAAUCUUUAAUCUGGAGAAAGUUGAGCACUGUAUUUGAAUCAAAAUUAGAAACCAGGUCCAGCUCUAAGUAACAAAUUAUUCCACCUCUCCAUUAAAAUACCUCUGUAAACAAGAAAAUGUAAAUAAGAGAUCCAGCAUCCAUCCAAAAAAGGAUUUUUUCUUUGUUGAGUCAUGAGUUUUGUCGCAUGGGGAAAAUUAAUCAAAUUUAUGUAUGAAUAUGAUACAACUUUAUUGGCAAGACAGUAUCAACAAUGAAGCCAUCAAUACUUUCAAAAUUAGGUAAUAGAAAGGAAAAGGCAGCUGUCCUGUUGGGAUUCCAGUCAAUCUUCUGAACAUAACAUUGCAUAUCGGAAAUAAAUCCUUCCUUGCAGCUCACACCCAAGUGAUGGCUCUGAGGUGGGUGGUGGUACAGGGCUGUCCAGUGUUGAAGAGGACUGUUAGGGAUGCUGGAAUGAUGUGCAGAGCUGCAGUCAGCAAAGACAAAACAGCCAAGUUCCUAUGUAAGCAAAUGGAAAACUCAUCCUGCUCCCCUUGCCUCUCUACAACUGCUUCCUAUUUUUAAACUGAGUUUUGUUGCUGACUAUAAAAGGAUGUAAUAAUAGCAUGAAAUGACAGAAUUCCUCACCCAAUGGGUAUGUGUAGACUUUGUAAAGUUGCUUAAGUCUCUAAUUCCUUCUGACAUGGAUGGAGUGAGGUGCCUGCAUGCUUCUUACCAGAACCCAAAGUUUUCUCUUGCUGUUUUCAAGGUCUCUCUUCUCUGGCUACCCCAGGCAAUCUCCUUGCAUAGCCCAAAAGGAGGGCUUGGACAGGAUAACAAGGGCUUUUGGCUCCUUCCAGAUGGACUGACCUUGUGGGCACAGCAGGUGCCUCAUCACCAGUCCUCCAGAGACACUGUCUGCUGCCCCCGGGAGGGCUCUGCCUGGAGGGGACCCUGCACCUGGAUCCUGCACCUGGGCAGUGCAGGGGCUGUGUCUCCAGUGUGUCUGCCAUAGCUUUGUUGGAGGGAUCCUGCAGUCCAGGAUGAUGAUUGGUUUUCUGAAGAACCUUCUGAUGGAAGAACCAUUCCUCAUCUCUGAAAUAGAAUAACUGAAAAAGAACUACUUAACUGAGAAUUCACCUUCAGCAUCUGGUUUAGCCAGUCCAUGAUGCUUCCCUGUUUCCCAGCAGCAUCCAGAGAAUGGAAGUUAAGAGAAAGGUGAAAAGAAUGACCUCAUACUACACACAGGCAGGAUCCAGAAGAAAGGAAGACGGCUACAAAACCUUGUUGUGAACUCAGACACUGAAAGACUGGAGAAUUUCUGUUGAAUUCUCUGAAACCAGUUUUUACCAACAUAUUCCAUAUUAUCUGGCAGCAAAAUAUUUUCCUGUUGAUAUUACACUCCAAGGUAUAUGCUUGAUCAUAUAUGACCCAGACUGAUUAAACACAUUUAUUAUUUCAUUUA